UCCACGGUGGCUGAGAUGGUAAAGCGUCUGUCUGCAAUACAGGAAACCCAGGUUCGAUCCCUGGGUCAGGAA
rnacentral:tRNA from 1 species